rnacentral:rRNA from 1 species
UACAGAGGGUGCAAGCGUUAAUCGGAAUUACUGGGCGUAAAGCGAGCGUAGUCGGUUAUUUAAGUCGGAUGUGAAAUCCCCGGGCUCAACCUGGGAAUUGCAUUCGAUACUGGAUAGCUAGAGUUCGGCAGAGGGAAGCGGAAUUUCCGGUGUAGCGGUGAAAUGCGUAGAUAUCGGAAGGAACAUCAGUGGCGAAAGCGACUUCCUGGACCAAUACUGACGCUCAUGUGCGAAAGCGUGGGGAGCAAACAGG